rnacentral:rRNA from 1 species
GCAUAUCAAUAAGCGGAGGAAAAAGAAACCAACAGGGAUUGCCCUAGUAACGGCGAGUGAAGCGGCAACAGCUCAAAUUUGAAAUCUGGCUCUCGGGCCCGAGUUGUAAUUUGUAGAGGAUGCUUUUGAUGCGGUGCCUUCCGAGUUCCCUGGAACGGGACGCCAUAGAGGGUGAGAGCCCCGUCUGGUUGGAUGCCAAAUCUCUGUAAAGCUCCUUCGACGAGUCGAGUAGUUUGGGAAUGCUGCUCUAAAUGGGAGGUAUAUGUCUUCUAAAGCUAAAUACCGGCCAGAGACCGAUAGCGCACAAGUAGAGUGAUCGAAAGAUGAAAAGCACUUUGAAAAGAGAGUUAAAAAGUACGUGAAAUUGUUGAAAGGGAAGCGUUUAUGACCAGACUUGGGCUUGGUUAAUCAUCUGGGGUUCUCCCCAGUGCACUUUUCCAGUCCAGGCCAGCAUCAGUUUUCGCCGGGGGAUAAAGGCUUCGGGAAUGUGGCUCUCUCCGGGGAGUGUUAUAGCCCGUUGCGUAAUACCCUGGCGGGGACUGAGGUUCGCGCAUCUGCAAGGAUGCUGGCGUAAUGGUCAUCAACGACCCGUCUUGAAACACGGACCAAGGAGUCGUCUUCGUAUGCGAGUGUUCGGGUGUCAAACCCCUACGCGUAAUGAAAGUGAACGCAGGUGAGAGCUUCGGCGCAUCAUCGACCGAUCCUGAUGUUCUCGGAUGGAUUUGAGUAAGAGCAUACGGGGCCGGACCCGAAAGAAGGUGAACUAUGCCUGUGUAGGGUGAAGCCAGAGGAAACUCUGGUGGAGGCUCGCAGCGGUUCUGACGUGCAAAUCGAUCGUCAAACAUGGGCAUGGGGGCGAAAGACUAAUCGAACCUUCUAGUAGCUGGUUUCCGCCGAAG